GGAGCUUGCGGUUUAAUUGGUAUUCAACGCCGGAAAUCUUACCGGGACCGACAGCAAUAUGAAGGCCAGGCUGAAGACUUUGCCGGAUUAGCUGAGAGGUGGUGCAUGGCCGUCGUCAGUUCGUACUGUGAAGCAUCCUGUUAAGUCAGGCAACGAGCGAGACCCACGCCCACAGUUGCCAGCGUACUCUCCGGAGUGACGGGUACACUGUGGGGACCGCUGCUGCUAAAGCGGAGGAAGGAAUGGGCAACGGUAGGUCAGUAUGCCCCGAAUAUCCCGGGCUACACGCGAGCUACAAUGGUUGGUACAAUGGGUAUCUACCCCGAAAGGGGACGGGAAUCUCCUAAAACCAAUCUUAGUUCGGAUUGAGGGCUGCAACUCGCCCUCAUGAAGCUGGAAUCCGUAGUAAUCGCGUUUCAACAGAACGCGGUGAAUACGUCCCUGCUCCUU
rnacentral:rRNA from 1 species